UACGAAGGGUGCAAGCGUUAAUCGGAAUUACUGGGCGUAAAGGGCGCGUAGGCGGCCACCGCAAGUCAAUUGUGAAAUCUCCGGGCUUAACUCGGAAAGGUCAACUGAUACUGCGGGGCUAGAGUGCAGAAGGGGCAACUGGAAUUCUCGGUGUAGCGGUGAAAUGCGUAGAUAUCGAGAGGAACACCUGCGGCGAAGGCGGGUUGCUGGGCUGACACUGACGCUGAGGCGCGAAAGCUAGGGGAGCGAACGGG
rnacentral:rRNA from 1 species